ensembl:lncRNA
UCCUGCCCCAAAAACCCCAGCGGAGACCAGCCUGACACUCCCAUGACGUUCCUGACCAGUGAAGGCCUGGCCUGUGCAGAUUUAUGGAGUGCCUUACUCUCCUAUUUGGGCUGAGACUUUGAGUCAGACUGCUAGAAGUUGCACAAGAUUAAGAAGAAAAUUAGAUCUGGUCUUUUCUGGUCCAGCAAGCUCCAAGCUACUCAUCAUAAACCAUCAAUUAUGCUGGAGAUGUAUAAAGAAAAUUGAUAAGGUCGGAGUUGCUACGCAAACACAGAUGAAGCGCAUCACCUUUCGCCAGCACGGCACAGGUGGCUAUCACAAAUACAGCAAAAUCAGCCACCACUCUCAGGUGCGCAACGUCCAGGGUGGAGCCGACGCCAUGUCAUGCUUCCCUCUGUUUGGCACAAACAAGUCUGAAGCACAGAGGCUGAGCUAACACAGCCCAGUUGCAGUGAGACAUGGUUAAGAUUCACAGUUCCAUCACUACAACCAGCAUGUUCCCAGCUUACCGUCAAGCGGGUGUGAAUUUAUGCAAAUAUAUGCUUCCCGUCUAUCAUCUUUUAGCAAAUUUAAUGGCCCAAUUUCUUAAACAUUAUCCUUUAAAAGAUAUAUUAGCAGGUUUGAGUGUGG